AUUGAACGAUGGCGGCAGGCCUAACACAUGCAAGUCGAACGAGUGGCGGACGGGUGAGUAAUGUCUGGGAAACUGCCUGAUGGAGGGGGAUAACUACUGGAAACGGUAGCUAAUACCGCAUACCAUCGGAUGUGCCCAGAUGGGAUUAGCUAGUAGGUGGGGUAACGGCGCACCUAGGCGACGAUCCCUCGCUGGGCUGAGAGGAUGACCAGCCACACUGGAACUGAGACACGGUCCUGACUCCGACGGUAGGCAGCAGGGGGGAAUAUUGCACAAUGGGCGCAAGCCGGAUGCAGCCAUGCCGCGUGUAUGAAGAAGGCCUUCGGGUCGUAAAGUACUUUCAGCGGGGAGGCGUUACCCGCAGAAGAAGCACCGGCUAACUCCGUGCCAGCAGCCGCGGGAAUUC
rnacentral:rRNA from 1 species